ACGGGUAACGGGGAAUUAGGGUUCGAUUCCGGAGAGGGAGC
rnacentral:rRNA from 1 species